AUGAGAGCCUCGCAGAGGCGUGGCCCGGGCGUCCCACGAGGUGAAGAUGCUGCGGGCGGAACCUGGUGGAGCAAGCGGGAUUCGGGGGCGCUAAAGUCGCAAGGGCAGGGCGGGAAGGAAGAUCCGGAACGGGGCAGAGGAUCCGGAGCUGGAGCCCCCCCAGGUGAGUGCAGGGGGAGACCCCGGCCUUCCGCGCAAUACACGGCAGUGCGCCGGGAGAGCGGCGGCGGGCACCCGCGAGGCCCGCGCCGACUCUCCAUCUCCUCUUCCCCAGCGCGUCGCCGCUCCCGCCUCCAUCCUCACCUCCUCUCCAGCCGGCUCACUUCCCUCUCCAUCAUCUCCCUUCCCCCAUCCCGUCCUCUCUUGCCUGCCCGAUCUGCCAACCCGCCCGACCCUUUAGCUCCAUCCCCGACCCCUGCCCCAAACUUCAUCCCUCGUCUGGUCCCGUCUCUGCCCCCUCCUCUUACCGCAGCCUCGCCUCCCCCUGCCCCAUCCCCCUUCCCGUCUCCUCUCCCGGUUCUGCGCAUCCCCAUCGGAGGGCUCUUGGUCCAAGUCCUCCGCAUCUCUCCUCUCCUUGUUGCUCCUGAAGGCUCACGCUGCCUCUCCUUCCAGGUUCCUGGCACCAUCUUCCCACCCAUUCCGUGCCCAGUCUGUAGGUCUUCCCCCGUGGGCGCCCUCUUCCCACCUUGCCCUGCUCUCCAAGACCUUGGCGCUCCCUUCCUGCACCAGUUCGUCUGGCUGCCUAUACACCCGUCCCCACCCUGGUCCCUAUGCCCCUACCCCAUCUUCAGCUUCUUUGCUCCCCACAUUCCCUACCUGCUCCUGCUCCUGCUCCCGCAGGACGAAGGUCGCAGGACACAGAGACCCAGCUGCUGCAGGGCUUCCUGCUGCAGUAGCUGUAGUGUACCUGUCCACCUUCCCACCCUCCCAUCCAGGCAGCCUACCCCAGCUCUGCUCUUCUUGGCAUUUGUCCUGAGGGCUCCUGUAGGGUCUGCAGUCUGUCUAGAGCAUCUUGGGGGGGCUCCAGGUGGAAAGUCCCUUAGCACCCUUCCCUACUUUCCCCCCCCUGUCCACCGUCUCCCUCCCCACCCAACCCCCACUUUCCUGCUCAGCCUCACUUUGUGA
rnacentral:lncRNA from 1 species